rnacentral:tRNA from 1 species
GGGGGUUAUAGCUCAGUGGUAGAGCACAUGCUUAGCAUGCAUGAGGCCCUGGGUUCAAUCCCCAGUUCCUCCA